AUCUACAGAAAAUCAGCUGCCAUAAUUGGAGGAGGAUGAUCGAUGAGAUUUGUGGAAGUGAUCCCCUGGAAAGGUGGCUGUGUGGCCAUUCUCCAAGUUCAGGACCCUAGGAAGUCAAUGUUGGCAGGGAUAUUACAACCAAAUCUAAUCUUGCCCCCACUUAAUGUCUUUCUUUUCAGGAAAGAGCCAAUGGAUGAGGAUCAAGAUUGCAGACUCCACCUGACCUCUUUCUCCCGUGGAAUGUCAGGCCAACUGCAAUGCAUUAUGCAACGCUAGCCAGUUCAGUACAAAUGAGGAAAUGAACACAGAAUCAUAAAGACCUCUGUAGCUCAACACUGCUUCAACCAGUUCCCUUGUGAGUGAACACUUGAAAAUCGAUAUUCCAAUGCUACUGUCUUCGACCUGUAUUAGAAAUAAUCUUAGAAUACAUUGUGCAGUAUUGAGUCAAUUUAGGUGUGACGAGAAUUGUUUUUUGUUGUAUACAAAGGACAUUAAUCAAGAAUAGAAUUGGUGUGAUAUUGGAACGGUGGGAGUUACAGCUGAUGGACUUGUACAUCAUAGUGGGAUUGCCAAGCAUGUGGGAUCCGGUCUAGGAUAUUGCCUAGUUGCAUCAUGGCCUGGUUCAGCAAUUCAAAUGCCCAGGAACUAAGAAGAUUACAGAAAAGUGGUGAACUCUGCCAAGUCUUUUACAGGGUUUACAGAAUACAAUGUCUACAUAUCUGUUGUGCUGCUGCAAGUAAGAAUUUUAUCGUUCUGAGCUUAUGACAAUAAAACACUCUUGACUUGUCUCUUCUACCAUAGUAAUUUGUGCUGACCACUCCCUGUUCCCAAGGAAAUGGCUGUUUGUUCAAUUGUUUCAAAAGCCACCAGAAAUCAUCCAUCCCUUUAAUUAGCAUGAGUGAAGGCAGUGGGUGGGGUGGGAAUUUCAUUCUCUCGUUUCGGGACAAAUGACAAUAAAAUUCUCUUGACGCCCGACUGAGUGAGAACAGGAUUGUAGACUCUUUUUCAGUAUCCAACAUUAAAAAAAACUUGUGUGUAUG